rnacentral:rRNA from 1 species
AGCGAACGCUGGCGGCAGGCCUAACACAUGCAAGUCGAACGAAGCCUUCGGGCUUAGUGGCGGACGGGUGAGUAACACGUGGGAACGUACCUUUUGGUUCGGAACAACUCAGGGAAACUUGAGCUAAUACCGGAUGAGCCCUUAGGGGGAAAGAUUUAUCGCCGAAAGAGCGGCCCGCGUUAGAUUAGCUAGUUGGUGAGGUAAAGGCUCACCAAGGCUACGAUCUAUAGCUGGUCUGAGAGGAUGAUCAGCCACACUGGGACUGAGACACGGGCCAGACUCCUACGGGAGGCAGCAGUGGGGAAUCUUGCGCAAUGGGCGAAAGCCUGACGCAGCCAUGCCGCGUGAAUGAUGAAGGUCUUAGGAUUGUAAAAUUCUUUUACCAGGGACGAUAAUGACGGUACCUGGAGAAAAAGCCCCGGCUAACUUCGUGCCAGCCGCCGCAGUAAUAC